AUUGAACGCUGGCGGCAUGCUUUACACAUGCAAGUCGAACGGUAACAGGCCUUCGGGUGCUGACGAGUGGCGAACGGGUGAGUAAUGCAUCGAAACGUGCCCAGAGGUGGGGGAUAACGCAGCGAAAGCUGUGCUAAUACCGCAUGUGAUCUGAGGAUGAAAGCGGGGGACCAGGCAGCAAUGUUUGGCCUCGCGCCUUUGGAGCGGCCGAUGUCAGAUUAGGUAGUUGGUGGGGUAAAGGCCUACCAAGCCGACGAUCUGUAGCUGGUCUGAGAGGACGACCAGCCACACUGGGACUGAGACACGGCCCAGACUCCUACGGGAGGCAGCAGUGGGGAAUUUUGGACAAUGGGCGCAAGCCUGAUCCAGCAAUGCCGCGUGCGGGAAGAAGGCCUUCGGGUUGUAAACCGCUUUUGUACGGAACGAAAAGGCUCUGGCUAAUACCUGGGGCUGAUGACGGUACCGUAAGAAUAAGCACCGGCUAACUACGUG
rnacentral:rRNA from 1 species